rfam:Desulfovibrio salexigens DSM 2638, complete genome.
GCCGAGGUAGCUCAGUCGGUAGAGCAGGGGACUGAAAAUCCCCGUGUCGGCAGUUCAAUUCUGUCCCUCGGCA